CUGUAGGCCCAUUUCACUCCC
rnacentral:siRNA from 1 species